UGCAGUCGAGCGCACCUUCGGGUGAGCGGCGGACGGGUUAGUAACGCGUGGGAAUAUACCCUUUGGUACGGAAUAGCCUCUGGAAACGGAGAGUAAUACCGUAUGAGCCCUUCGGGGGAAAGAUUUAUCGCCAAAGGAUUAGCCCGCGUUAGAUUAGGUAGUUGGUGGGGUAAUGGCCUACCAAGCCUACGAUCUAUAGCUGGUUUUAGAGGAUGAUCAGCAACACUGGGACUGAGACACGGCCCAGACUCCUACGGGAGGCAGCAGUGGGGAAUCUUGGACAAUGGGGGCAACCCUGAUCCAGCCAUGCCGCGUGAGUGAUGAAGGCCUUAGGGUCGUAAAGCUCUUUCGCCUGUGAAGAUAAUGACGGUAGCAGGUAAAGAAACCCCGGCUAACUCCGUGCCAGCAGCCGCGGUAAUACGGAGGGGGUUAGCGUUGUUCGGAAUUACUGGGCGUAAAGCGCACGUAGGCGGACUGGAAAGUUGGGGGUGAAAUCCCAGGGCUCAACCCUGGAACUGCCUCCAAAACUAUCAGUCUAGAGUUCGAGAGAGGUGAGUGGAAUUCCGAGUGUAGAGGUGAAAUUCGUAGAUAUUCGGAGGAACACCAGUGGCGAAGGCGGCUCACUGGCUCGAUACUGACGCUGAGGUGCGA
rnacentral:rRNA from 1 species